UCCUACGGGUGGCAGCAGUAGGGAAUAUUGCGCAAUGGACGAAAGUCUGACGCAGCAACGCCGCGUGUGGGAUGAAGCUUCUUGGAGUGUAAACCACUGUCGGGAGGGACGAACGAUUAUGGUUAUAAUACAGCUAUAGUUUGACGGUACCUUCAAAGGAAGCUCCGGCUAACUCCGUGCCAGCAGCCGCGGUAAUACGGGGGGAGCAAGCGUUGUUCGGAAUCACUGGGCGUAAAGGGUGCGCAGGCGGGAGAUUAAGUCGGAUGUGAAAACCUCGGGCUCAACCCGAGGCCUGCAUUUGAAACUGAUCUUCUUGAGUAUCGGAGAGGAAAGAGGAACUCCAGGUGUAGCGGUGAAAUGCGUAGAUAUCUGGAGGAACACCUGUGGCGAAGGCGGCUUUCUGGCCGAAUACUGACGCUCAUGCACGAAGGCUAGGGGAGCAAACAGGAUUAGAUACCCCAGUAGUCCUG
rnacentral:rRNA from 1 species